ACUACUACUGCAAUGUGAUGUUGCUUAUCUAGAUUUUAUCUUUUGAUCAAAAAAAAAUCUAGAUUUUAUCUUUCUAUUAGUUGAAAGAAAAGGCAGUGGUGGGGAGAAUCAUCUUGAUGGGAGACAACUGCUUGGACCAAGAAGUGAGGUUUCAGGCUCAAUCAUGAGCAAUCGAUUUUCAGGAAACAAGAGCGAGAAGUAACUCUGAUUCACAAUUCACGGCUCUGCACUGGUCCAAGAUGCUAAGAAACGGACCUGGAAGCCUCUCCAUGAAUAUGAACCAUAUGGCAAACCAGCCUCCACGAGGAGGAGGUGGACAAAUCAGUCAUUUGCUUCAUCAGCUGUCUUCAAGCAGGUUCAAGGAUGAAAACGUGGUACCAUCAGUUAUCUCCCAGACAGCUGCAGAUGAAGGUUCACGGACAGGGAUGAAAGGUCCAGGUGUCAUGAGUCCUUUUACAAUGCCAAAUCCGAGCAGAUUCGAAUGUUUUACCCCUUCAAGGUGUGAUGUCUCUAGUCUUGUGAUGCUUUGUCCUCAAGUCAGUUUCAACAUACGUACUAACUCUUGUAGUCAUCAGUCAAGGACUUGUAAAGCUUUGUUUCUAUAUAAACAUGUGAACUCUUGUAGUCUUGUCUAUAUAAAAUUUUAUUUACAACACAACACUCUUCUUCAUUCA